rnacentral:misc_RNA from 1 species
UUUCCGUAGGUGAACCUGCGGAAGGAUCAUUAUUGUAUAACCGAGGUGCGAGGGCUGUCGCUGACCCGAAAGGUCGUGCACGCCCGAGUGCCCUCACACACAUCCAUCUCACCCCUAUGUGCACCACCGCGUGGGGUCCCCCUUUGGCUUGUUCGGAGGGGGGCUUACGUUUUCACACAAACUUUGUAUGCAGUGUAGAAUGUAUUUUUUGUUUUUGCGAUCACGCAAUCAAUACAACUUUCAACAACGGAUCUCUUGGCUCUC